rnacentral:rRNA from 1 species
UCGAGGAUCUUCGGCAAUGGGCGCAAGCCUGACCGAGCGACGCCGCGUGCGCGAUGAAGGCCUUCGGGUUGUAAAGCGCUGUCGAGGGGGAGGAAGCCGUAAGGUUGACCUAUCCCUGGAGGAAGCACGGGCUAAGUUCGUGCCAGCAGCCGCGGUAAGACGAACCGUGCAAACGUUGUUCGGAAUCACUGGGCUUAAAGGGCGCGUAGGCGGGCUGCCAAGUCCGGGGUGAAAGCUUUCGGCUCAACCGGAAAAGGGCCUCAGAUACUGGCAGUCUGGAGGGAGGUAGGGGCAGCGGGAACUUCCGGUGGAGCGGUGAAAUGCGUUGAUAUCGGAAGGAACGCCGGUGGCGAAAGCGCGCUGCUGGACCUCUGCUGACGCUGAGGCGCGAAAGCCAGGGGAGCAAACGGGAUUAGAUACCCGGGUAGUCC